rnacentral:pre_miRNA from 1 species
UAUGUACUCCCUCCGUUCCAAAAUACUUGACUUCCAUUUGUCCAAAAAUGGAUGUGCCUAUAUACUAAAACAUGUCUAGAUACAUAUAUAUUUUGACAAAUAGAAGGCAUGUAUUGUGCAACGGAGGUAGUAGAAU